CCCUUUGGGUGUGACUGCGUACCUUUUGUAUAAUGGGUCAGCGACUUAUAUUCUGUAGCAAGGUUAACCGAAUAGGGGAGCCGGAGGGAAACCGAGUCUUAACCGGGCGUUAAGUUGCAGGGUAUAGACCCGAAACCCGGUGAUCUAGCCAUGGGCAGGUUGAAGGUUGGGUAACACUAACUGGAGGACCGAACCGACUAAUGUUGAAAAAUUAGCGGAUGACCUGUGGCUGGGGGUGAAAGGCCAAUCAAACCGGGAGAUAGCUGGUUCUCCCCGAAAGCUAUUUAGGUAGCGCCUCGUGAAUUCAUCUCCGGGGGUAGAGCACUGUUUCGGCUAGGGGGCCAUCCCGGCUUACCAACCCGAUGCAAACUGCGAAUACCGGAGAAUGUUAUCACGGGAGACACACGGCGGGUGCUAACGUCCGUCGUGAAGAGGGAAACAACCCAGACCGCCAGCUAAGGUCCCAAAGUCAUGGUUAAGUGGGAAACGAUGUGGGAAGGCCCAGACAGCCAGGAUGUUGGCUUAGAAGCAGCCAUCAUUUAAAGAAAGCGUAAUAGCUCACUGGUCGAGUCGGCCUGCGCGGAAGAUGUAACGGGGCUAAACCAUGCACCGAAGCUGCGGCAGCGACACUGUGUGUUGUUGGGUAGGGGAGCGUUCUGUAAGCCUGUGAAGGUGUGUCGUGAGGCAUGCUGGAGGUAUCAGAAGUGCGAAUGCUGACAUAAGUAACGAUAAAGCGGGUGAAAAGCCCGCUCGCCGGAAGACCAAGGGUUCCUGUCCAACGUUAAUCGGGGCAGGGUGAGUCGACCCCUAAGGCGAGGCCGAAAGGCGUAGUCGAUGGGAAACGGGUUAAUAUUCCCGUACUUGGUGUUACUGCGAAGGGGGGACGGAGAAGGCUAUGUUGGCCGGGCGACGGUUGUCCCGGUUUAAGCGUGUAGGUGUGUGUUCCAGGUAAAUCCGGUUCACUUUAACACUGAGGCGUGACGACGAGGCACUACGGUGCUGAAGCAACAAAUGCCCUGCUUCCAGGAAAAGCCUCUAAGCAUCAGGUAACAUCAAAUCGUACCCCAAACCGACACAGGUGGUCAGGUAGAGAAUACCAAGGCGCUUGAGAGAACUCGGGUGAAGGAACUAGGCAAAAUGGUGCCGUAACUUCGGGAGAAGGCACGCUGACACGUAGGUGAAGUGAUUUACUCAUGGAGCUGAAGUCAGUCGAAGAUACCAGCUGGCUGCAACUGUUUAUUAAAAACACAGCACUGUGCAAACACGAAAGUGGACGUAUACGGUGUGACGCCUGCCCGGUGCCGG
rnacentral:rRNA from 3 species